AGAGUUUGAUCCUGGCUCAGGAUGAACGCUGGCGGCGUGCCUAAUACAUGCAAGUCGAGCGAACAGAUAAGGAGCUUGCUCCUUUGACGUUAGCGGCGGACGGGUGAGUAACACGUGGGUAACCUACCUAUAAGACUGGAAUAACUCCGGGAAACCGGGGCUAAUGCCGGAUAAUAUUUAGAACCGCAUGGUUCUAAAGUGAAAGAUGGUUUUACUAUCACUUAUAGAUGGACCCGCGCCGUAUUAGCUAGUUGGUGGGGUAAUGGCUUACCAAGGCAACGAUACGUAGCCGACCUGAGAGGGUGAUCGGCCACACUGGAACUGAGGCACGGUCCAGACUCCUACGGGAGGCAGCAGUAGGGAAUCUUCCGCAAUGGGCGAAAGCCUGACGGAGCAACGCCGCGUGAGUGAUGAAGGUCUUCGGAUCGUAAAACUCUGUUAUUAGGGAAGAACAAAUGUGUAAGUAACUGUGCACGUCUUGACGGUACCUAAUCAGAAAGCCACGGCUAACUACGUG
rnacentral:rRNA from 1 species